rnacentral:rRNA from 1 species
CAGUAGCCGCGGUAAUACGAAGGGGGCUAGCGUUGCUCGGAAUGGCUGGGCGUAAAGGGCGCGUAGGCGGAUGGUACAGUCAGAUGUGAAAUUCCUGGGCUUAACCUGGGGGCUGCAUUUGAUACGUAUUGUCUAGAGUGAGGAAGAGGGUCGUGGAAUUCCCAGUGUAGAGGUGAAAUUCGUAGAUAUUGGGAAGAACACCGGUGGCGAAGGCGGCGACCUGGUCCUUGACUGACGCUGAGGCGCGAAAGCGUGGGGAGCAAACAGGAUUAGAUACCCGCGUAGUCCCUGUCUCUUAUAC